AAUAAUAAUUAGAGAAUAUUGUAAUGAAUCGGUUUACCUUAAUUUUUUUUUUUUUUAUGUUUGAUUUAUGUUGUGAAAUUAUCAUUUGGGAAUUUAUGGUGUUGUUGUAUGUUAUUUAUGUUGAAUUGUUGAUUGUUAAAUUAUAAUUGAAUUUUAUUUGAUAUUAUUAGGUAAAUUGUUAAAUUUAAAAUUAAUUUUAAUUUAUUAUUAUGCAAAUCCAAAUAUCUAAAAAAUUCGCUCGCAAUUCGUACGGAUAUUACCCGCAUCCAGAUCCGCAUAUUUUUUUGUAGAUCCAGAUGCCAGAUGUUCAAUGCGGAUCCAGAUUCGGAUUUUACCAUCCCUACACAAGCAUCAUAGCUAGUGGUAAAACUCACUCCCUGUAGUGCAUAAGAGAUAGAGUGAUUUUGAGUCUUUGCAUUUAUUUUUAUUUUUUAAAAAAUAAGGGAGUGCACAAAGUGCAUAUCAAUUAUUUUUUAUUCCCCUAUUUUUUUUUUUAACUUGAACUCAAUUAACUAAUUAAAUAAAGUUAUUUGAAAACUACAUGGUCAAAUACUCUUAUUAGUGGCAAUUUACAUUAUCCUUACAUAGGAGUGUCAUACUAUAAUUAUUUAUAAUUACAAUUCAAAAAAAAAAAGGUGGGCUGCUGGAUAAAUAAUGUUAGGGUAAAAAUAUUUAAUAGAAUUUAGAAGUAAUCUAUUUGUGGCAUUCAAAAGCUUAUGAAAAAUAUGUCGGUACCCCCGGUGUGCAUGAACUUGAGCAUGCGUCGUAUAUAUCACGAAGGCCCAAUUGCUGAGGUCCAUUUUUGCUUAGGUGCUUGUACGGCCCAUGGAUUUUGAAGUUCAUAGCCGAACGCUUGUGGGCCUUGAUUGGUGAAACUUGAGUGAACCUUGUGGACCCUAAUCAUCCUUAUUUAUCAAAAGGACUGCAUCAAUUUAGCGGCGAGGUGCUUUGCAUGCGUUCUUGAAAGAAAAAUCGAAAUGAUUGACGAUAAACGCCCCUCGCUUUGUGGGCAGUAGUUAACCAUAUUCACUUUCAAAUUAUUUAUUUCAAUCUAAUUAGCAAGGGUAGGUUCUAACGAAUCCAAUUAAAGAUUUACUUAUUUCAUCAACCGUUGUUAUAUUUUAUAUGCUAUAUUUUGAGAAAUAAAAGAGAGAUUGACUUAAUAUAUUAUCUCUAAAAAGUCUUUUCUAAUGAUCUAUCAUGUAACCACAAUCCAGCUAAUACAAUCCAAUUAAAGAAUUAUUAAGUGAUUGAUUCACUAAAUUAAGAUCAAAUAAGAACUAUAUUACAUACCUUGACAAAAUCACUAUUUUCUUUAAAUUGUACUGCCUUUAUACUUUAUAAAAAAUCAUAUUAUGCAUGUAAUAUCAUCUUUAUAAAUUAAUAAUUAUUAGUUUAUCAAUAAAUCAAUAAUAAUUAAUAAAUUA
rnacentral:lncRNA from 1 species